UUCUUCCUCCAGAACCAAACCCAUGCUCUGCCGUUCGUCUCUCUUCUCUAUGCUCUACCUUCUCCUUCCCCAAAACCCAACACUGAAAAUCAAUCCUGCCAAGAAGCCAUCCCCACACUCUUAGGUCCAAGAUAGAAAGAAGGCAUCACCGAACAAACUACUAUCCCAGCCGUGGCAGAGGGUAUAGCUCCUGUGGUUCUUAAUUUUGCAUCAUAAUUGCCUCAAACUCAGACCCUAUCCUCUCUCUCUAAUCUCAGCCAAAUCCAUCACCACUCUCAAUUUGCUUCUGUCGUUGAUGUUGCAUAAGGUGCUUAAUAGGAUUUUGUAGAAUUUUUGGUGUUUUGGCUGCUUUUAGUUCAAGUGAAUUCCAUGAGGUGAAUUUCAUGUAAGAUGUAAUUGAUAUUUUCAAUAGAA